rnacentral:rRNA from 2 species
CGGGGCUGCGUGCUAUACAUGCAAGUCGAGCGGAUCUUUGAGAAGCUUUGCUUCUCUAAAGAUUAGCGGCGGACGGGUGAGUAACACGUGGGCAACCUGCCUGUAAGACUGGGAUAACUCCGGGAAACCGGGGCUAAUACCGGAUAAUUCAUUUCCUCUCAUGAGGGAAUGCUGAAAGACGGUUUCGGCUGUCACUUACAGAUGGGCCCGCGGCGCAUUAGCUAGUUGGUGAGGUAACGGCUCACCAAGGCAACGAUGCGUAGCCGACCUGAGAGGGUGAUCGGCCACACUGGGACUGAGACACGGCCCAGACUCCUACGGGAGGCAGCAGUAGGGAAUCUUCCGCAAUGGACGAAAGUCUGACGGAGCAACGCCGCGUGAGCGAUGAAGGCCUUCGGGUCGUAAAGCUCUGUUGUUAGGGAAGAACAAGUAUCGGAGUAACUGCCGGUACCUUGACGGUACCUAACCAGAAAGCCACGGCUAACUACGUGCCAGCAGCCGCGGUAAUACGUAGGUGGCAAGCGUUGUCCGGAAUUAUUGGGCGUAAAGCGCGCGCAGGUGGUUCCUUAAGUCUGAUGUGAAAGCCCACGGCUCAACCGUGGAGGGUCAUUGGAAACUGGGGAACUUGAGUGCAGAAGAGGAAAGUGGAAUUCCACGUGUAGCGGUGAAAUGCGUAGAGAUGUGGAGGAACACCAG